rnacentral:snRNA from 1 species
AAGUGUUACAGUUCCUUUAGAAUUUGUCUAUAAGAUUUCCAAUUUCCAAAAUUGGAAAAAA